rnacentral:rRNA from 1 species
GUCCACACUGUAAACGAUGAACACUAGGUAUAGGGAGUAUCGACCCUCUCUGUGCCAAAGCUAACGCGUUAAGUGUUCCGUCUGGGGAGUACGGCCGCAAGGCUAAAACUCAAAGGAAUUGACGGGGGCCCCGCACAAGCAGCGGAGCGUGUGGUUUAAUUCGAUGCAAAGCGAAGAACCUUACCAAGGCUUGACAUGACGGAAGUAGGGACGCGAAAGCGCGACGAACUGUUAAAUCAGUAACCGCCACAGGUGCUGCAUGGCUGUCGU